rnacentral:rRNA from 1 species
AACGAACGCUGGCGGCAUGCCUAACACAUGCAAGUCGAACGAGACCUCCGGGUCUAGUGGCGCACGGGUGCGUAACGCGUGGGAACCUGCCCUUAGGUUCGGAAUAACUCCCCGAAAGGGGUGCUAAUACCGGAUAAUGUCCUCGGACCAAAGAUUUAUCGCCUUUGGAUGGGCCCGCGUUGGAUUAGCUAGUUGGUAGGGUAAAAGCCUACCAAGGCGACGAUCCAUAGCUGGUCUGAGAGGAAGAUCAGCCACACUGGGACUGAGACACGGCCCGGAAUCCUACGGGAGGCAGCAGUGGGGAAUAUUGGACAAUGGGCGAAAGCCUGAUCCAGCAAUGCCGCGUGAGUGAUGAAGGCCUUAGGGUUGUAAAGCUCUUUUACCCGGGAUGAUAAUGACAGUACCGGGAGAAUAAGCUCCGGCUAACUCCGUG